UGCAGAGAGAGACGGUGCUUCUGUCUAUGAGAGGAAAGUUGUGUGGAAGUCCUUUGUGGCUCCAGAAGAAGUUUCAGAAACUCUGAUCGUCUUCCUGGAGUGAAGUCCCCCGAGUCAGCGGCAGAAAAGAACCGAAUCAGAAAGAACCGAGCUCACCAGACCCCCGCUAGCCCCGACCGGCGGAACACACCCAGAUAUCCAAACCCAGCUGUCAGCCGCUGAGAUGAUUGAAAAAGAAGACUGAUGCUGAUCUGCACCACAGAAAUGCUUCAACUGGCCGGAUUGGACCCUCUGGAGGACCACUUUUGGACCACGGGCCUCAUGUUGGACACCCCUGACAUAUACCAUACCCAAGGUCUUGUGUUUUUGUUUUACUUCUGUCUUAUUUUUAUUGUUUUAACGUGUCUUUCUUAUUUGGUGAAGGUCAGAGGGGAUGGGAGGGAAAAGUUUGCUUUGGUGCAUUUUGCUUCUUUAUUUUGCUGUAAUUUGCCAACAAAAAAAUCUAAUGAAUGCGUAUAAAAAAGGAUGCACACAGUGCAGAGAUUUGUUCGACCUCUCAGGAAGAACGUCCACUCUGCAGUUAUGUGGGCCGAUAUGGCGGCACGACGGUUUUUAUUGGUCCAAUAAAGCUGCAGCUUAAUAAGUGUAAUCUGUCCGCCAGCCCAAAGGUUACAGCCCGGCCGUAUAUCUGUGUCCCAUCGCUAUAUUGCUGAUCUGUAAUUGCCUUGCUGGUGGCUUAAUUGUUGAGGUGUACGUGGAGAUCAUUUGGAAAUGAUCCAUCACUUAGUACUGUAAUAAUGAGUUUCCGAUGGUUGGCUGGGCUGGAGCUGCCUCCCUCGCUCCCCACACAGGGAGAUGUUGGACCGGAGUGCUGCACUGUGUGGUGAGGUGCAGCAGAGUGGAAUUUUAAGAGUGAGGAGAUGUGUGUGAAGGGAAUAGCAGGCUGGGCUUGUUUAUAUGUGUGUGUUGCUGCAGCACUCUUAAUCAAACCAGCUCCGUCCCUCUUGUGUCCUCCAAUUUGUAAGCACCAACCUGCAUUGCAUUGAAAUCAUCUUAAUCCAUGAAGCUGCAUCACUUUAGAUUAUUAGCUGAAGAGGCACGACUCUGUUCUGUCUCCAUCCCCCGUCUCUCUGCUGUGAACUGCCACAUAAAAGCCAAAAGAAAAUUAAAGCUGAUCCGGUCCUCGCGUCACACAUGUAAAGCUUGAGGCAGAUUGGAGCGUGUACAGGCUAGAUAUGGAGCGCUUCCUGUCCAUCCACCAGGUGGCGCUAUCACUGUGACUGUAUAUUGGUCUAUGGAUGUCAUCAGGGCUGGACUCUGAUCAUACAUGUAAAGUUUGAGGCAGAUUGAGGCCCGUACACGCUAGUUAUACAUCACUUCCUGUGUCAUGGCGAAUUGUCAAUUCUGUCAACUGCCAUUUCCACGCCCUCAGACUUUUGCGGAGCGUUUUGACAGCUUUUGAUCACCCAUGCCUGCUGUACAUCCUGGCCAAAUUUCAGCUCUCUCAGUGUUACCCUGUUUGACUUUACAGCUUUUGAAAGUGUGCAAAAAUUGGUCCAAAAUAGUCCAAAAUAUGACACAUAAUUCAAAAUGGCCGACUUCCUGUUGGGUUUUGGGUGGAGGUGUUAAUUACAUUUUUGUGUGUCUUGGCAUGUUACAUAUGUGUAUCAAAUGUCAUAACUGUAGGUGACACGUAUUGCCCGUAGUAAAUGUUUAAAAUUUUCCAGGUGCUGCUAUGGAGGCACUUUGGCUCACCUAUGCUGGUCCAGAUGUGGAUGCAAAAUGUAACGUGUUUUUAAGUAUUUUUAGGAAAGACUAAUAGUCCAUUAAUUAUCUAUGCACUGCUUAGUUCUCAUUAGGGUCCCUGGGGCCUGGAGUCUAUCCCAGCUGACGGCAGGGGACACCUGGACAGGUAACAGUCUAUCACAGAGACAAACAAUCACACUCACAUUCACACCUACAGACAGUUUAGAAUCACCAGUGAACCUCAGCAUGUUUGUGGACUGUGGGAGGAAGCUGGAGAACCUGGAGAAAACCUACACAUGUACAGGAGAACAUGGAGACUCCAUGCAGAAAGAUACCAGGAAAGCCGGGUUUUAAGUGGAGAUCUUCUAGCUGCAAGGCGGCAGAGCUGACCACCAAGGCACUGUGCAGGCCGAAAGAAAAUUAGUGAAGACAAACAAUAAUCCCUUGCAUUUCCUCCAUUUGGUGCUCAGACCAGGUGUGAACUAACCGUGACGUCACCCGUUGGUUUCAACGCCGAGAAAAUGAAGCCCGAAUUUUGCUACUUCCUGGUCGCCGUUUUGGAUUUUUUGGAGCCAGUGACGUAAAAAGCGUCAUCAGACUGGACCGGAGAGCAACUAGGGGCAGGAUUGGCUGAGGACUCUCUUAUCCCGCCCACAUUUUACCGCAGAGGCUUCUGUUGCUGUCCAUCAAGUAUAGCCACGCCCCCUGGCUCCGCCAACUUUAACGAUUUAUUUAAAAUUCAGUAUUGAUUUAUUUUAAGAUCGGCCACCUGAUCUCUCAUUUUGACCAUGAAAACUAACGGGAAAAAACUCCUGAGCUGUAGAACAUCAGUCUAUCAAAUUUUAUUUUUUCCAAAAAUGAAUUGGGGUCUAUGGAGAAAAAGCUUUUUGGAGCCAACCCUAGUGGACGGCGUGAUAUUGCAAGUUUUUGA